rnacentral:rRNA from 1 species
GACGAACGCUGGCGGCGUGCCUAAUACAUGCAAGUAGAACGCACAGUUUAUACCGUAGCUUGCUACACCAUAAACUGUGAGUUGCGAACGGGUGAGUAACGCGUAGCUAACCUGCCUGGUAGCGGGGGAUAACUAUUGGAAACGAUAGCUAAUACCGCAUAAUAUUGAUUAUUGCAUGAUAAUUGAUUGAAAGAUGCUAUUGCAUCACUACCAGAUGGCCCUGCGUUGUAUUAGCUAGUAGGUGAGGUAACGGCACACCUAGGCGACGAUACAUAGCCGACCGUAGAGGGGGAUCGGCCACACUGGGACUGGGACACGGCCCAAACUCCUACGGGAGGCAGCAGUAGGGAAUCUUCGGCAAUGGACGAAAGUCUGACCGAGGAACGCCGCGGGAGUGAAGAAGGGUUUCGGAUCGUAAAGCUCUGUUGUAAGAGAAGAACGGGUGUGAGAGUGGAAAGUUCACACUGUGACGGUAUCUUACCAGAAAGGGACGGCUAACUACGUG